ACUCCAGGAGGGCGAGCAGUCAGGGCAGCUGCUUUGCAGAAGGCCAUGGGUCUGCUCCAAUAGGUUCCCUGUUGCUGGGGUCAGACUCCAGGAGGGCGAGCAGUCAGAGCAGCUGCUUUGCAGAAGGCGAUGUGUCCUGUGCGAGUUGGGAAAAGCUGAGCCCAGGAGCAGGAAGCAGGCUGUUGUCCCUAACUCUGAAGCAUGUUGCAGCAGGUUUACAACUGAAAACUGCACCAUUUCCUCCACUUUACCCCACCUCUGUGUUCUGGUGUUAGUAGAAAUGGAUUGCAAUUGUGGAGGCCGCUGCCGUCAGAACAAACUACCAAAGUGACAGUGAACCCGUGCCAGCACUUACCAUCCACACACUGAGUGAGACCCAAGUGAAAAAUUAUUAAAACAAGAAUCAGGAAUGCAUUUUGGACUGAGACUCCCAGCCCAGGACAAGAGAUGGGGGCUAGUGGGGCUCACACUAGCACUCGAAAAAUAUCUGUAUAGACAGCGCUUAGGGAGGGGGCGGAAAAUUGCUUCUUUGACUGCUUCUGAAUAUCUAUCCAGUGGUCAGAAAAAGUCAACAACCCAAGAAGCCUCCAAAAUUAAGAGACACAAGGUCAAAAGUCGAGAGACCAACUACUUGAGAAGUGCACUAGUCAGUUUGAAAUGCACCGCUUAAAGUACAGUAUCUUAAUGCUACUAUGAAAUGUUGUAUGGCGGCGAAACAUGGGCGCUGACAAAGAUAAAGGAGCAACAACUGCUUGUCACAGAGAGGGCGAUGGAAAGAAGAAUUCUGGGGAUUUCUAUCGACCACUGAGUCCCCAAUGAAGCAAUCAGACAGCAGACUGGAGUAUAGGAUGUCGUUGUUGAAAGCAGGUACAGUAAAAUGCAAUGGGCCGGGCAUCUAGGCUCACUGACAAUCAAUGGAUUGCCAGUCUCGCAAGUGGUACCCACGAGAACUGAAAUGACCACUCUGCCAACUUCCAAAGAGAUGGGAAGUUUUUACUGUGAAAAGGCAAGGCCGCACAUGGAGAAGGAAGGCCAGGAUAAGAGACGAAUGGAAGAAGUUUUGUGAUCGAUGAAAUCUAUAUGAGGGCUGAAGGACCGAUCACUCAAGGUGAUCAAGGUGACUAUUAAAUUCAUUUUAACAAAAAGGAAACUUGUGAAACCUAUUUACUGUAGUAAGGUUUUUUUAGUUAUAGAUACACACACGAUGGCUGUGACACAAAUAACAGCUAACAAAAAGCAACCGUAUGCAGCAUUCGAAUAAUGUUUUAGAAAGAAGCAGUAAAGAUGAUCUGCAAAACCUUUUAUUUAAAGAUUCACACUAAGUGACAGAAGAUUAGUACAGACUUCUUAAUUAUAAACAGCUACAUUAAAAAAAAUUAAAGAUUGGAAAAUCAUUUCCUCCUUCAUUUAUGCACCAAGUCCUGAAAUCAGGCGGAGGGUUCUGGGUUUCCACUACAACGCUGAUGCCAUCUCAGAUGCCUGCUGAACUGCCUGCUUUAGGGGUUUGAGAUGUCACUCUAAUUCCCUGACUUAGUACGAAAAUGAAGAAGGAAAUGAUUUUUUUUUUUGUAUUAUUCAUUUUAUCAGUUUAUAGUUGAAUACCUGAUCUGUUACUGGUCUAGGAUAUUGCACCUAUUUAUUUUCAUAAGUUUUGUUACUUUAUGUAGUUGAGGGCUAGUCUACACUGGCCACGUUAAAGCGCUGCCACAGCAAUGCUUUAACAUGGCUUGUAUGGUCGCGGCAGAGAGCUCUCCCAGUGCUCUAAAAAUACCCCCAGGAGGAGCACGGCUCCCAGCACAGGAGCACGGCUCCCAGCACUGGUGCACUGUCCACACUGGCGCUUUACAGCGCUGAAACUUGCUGCACUUGGGGGUGUUUUUCACACCCCCGAGCGAGAAAGUUGCAGAGCUGUAAAGCGCCAGUGUAGACAACCCCUAAGAUGCAAGAGGCCUGCUAUAGUGAUUUGUGAACAGACAGUUCAGAUCUGCGGCUGACUGAAGUUUGGUGGCAGCAAAGGCAGGAUGCCAAGUUCUUCCUCCAGCCUGGCCGCUACACUCAGCGCCACUUUGCUGAUGGCUGGGCUUCUUUUCCAGUUUUACUCCAGAAACUAAUUUGGAAGCCGCUCUCAAUUUAGCUUCUACACGUGAAUGUAACAUUUCAGAGGCCCUGCUGUUUGCCUUAUGAUGUUGAGCACACAGAGGGGGAAAGGAGUGGAAACAGGAGUCUGAGGCUUGUUUUACACUAGUAACUUAUGUCAAUACAAGUACGUUGAUUAUCCACACCCCUGAGCAACAUAGUUAUACCAAACUAACCCCCAGUGUAAACAGUAUUGUCGAAGGAAGGACUUCUCCCAUUGCCAUAGCUACUGCCUCUCAGGGUGGUGGAGCACCUACACUAAUGGGAUAAGCUCUCCCAUUAGCAUAGAUAGCGUCUUUACUAAGUACUACAGCUGUACUGUAAGUAUAGGCAAGCCCUGAGGAAGAAAACCUCCCUGCUUAAGUAGUACUUAAGCCUCUACCAAUGAAUUAACAGGCCUUUAGAACCCAUGACAAUAUCUUUUCCAGGCUCCAGCCAAUAGCUGGCAAGAACAAACUAAUACCAAGGCAGAGAUUGCCAGGGAACCUAACCAGGCAGGGAAGUGGCUGAGCUCAGUUGGAAUGAAUUCUUCACCAAGAUGGAACAGAGAAAGAGUUUGACAGACUCUGCAUUUGGAUGGAUUGAUGAGCCAUUUGGCCACAAAAGCCCUUUUGGUCUACUUUGAACAAACCCUCUAACUAAAACUUUUAUCCUGUUUUUCCCUCACCUUUCUUCCACCUGCCUAAUCUGUGCUGGUAUCUGCUUCUAUUAGCACUUUUCUUGGUGGGUCAUUUAUACAAUAAAUGUAUUAGUGCUAAUUUAUAAAUGGAUUCAUCCCACAAAGAUACUAGCUUUGUCAUAUUCCAGAUUUCCUGGGGCAGACCAUCACCAAAACAGAUUUGAACAAUCAACAUCCAAGCUAGUUUAUAGUCACUUAGCACAUGGGAUAACACACAGAAGAGGAAAACUACUGGGUAAAUAACAGAUGCAUACACACACAUUAUUGCUUACAACAGUCCAGUAUGUUGAGACAUUGUGUAGAUCAGGGGUCUCAAACAUAUGGCCUGUGGGCCACAUGCAGCCUGCAGAGUUAUUUCCUGUGGCCCGCCAUAGGCACCGAUUCCAUUGGCAGCCAAGCUCUCCUUCCCCCAAGCCCCCAUCUCCCCCCCCCCAAGAACACCAUGUCCCUGCUCCUCCACCUACCUCCCAGCACUUCUCACCACCGAACAGCUGUUUGGCGGCACUUAGGACUUUCCAGGAGGGAGGGGAGACGAGCGGGGACACAGCAC